rnacentral:rRNA from 1 species
UACGUAGGGGGCAAGCGUUAUCCGGAUUCACUGGGUUUAAAGGGUGCGUAGGCGGGCAGGUAAGUCCGUGGUGAAAUCUCUGAGCUUAACUCAGAAACUGCCAUGGAUACUAUUUGUCUUGAAUGUUGUGGAGGUAAGCGGAAUAUGUCAUGUAGCGGUGAAAUGCUUAGAUAUGACAUAGAACACCAAUUGCGAAGGCAGCUUACUACACAAAUAUUGACGCUGAGGCACGAAAGCGUGGGGAUCAAACAGG